AUAUGUCUCAGUGGUUAAGUGCCCCUUAGUUCAAUUCCUGGUACCCAGAUAAACAAAUAACAACAAAACAACACAAAACCCUAGGCAUGAUCUACCCAAAGAGGAGAAAGACCUGUUACAAUGACAAUUAUAGAACUCUGAAAGAGAAGUGGAGGAGACACUACAAGGUGAAAAGCUCUCCCAUGUUCUUGGAUACCCAGAAUCAAAACGCCACAUUUCCAAAAGAUAUCUACAGAUGCAAUGCAAUCCCCAUCAAAUAUCAAUGACAUUUUUUUUCUCAGAAAUAGAUUAAAAAAAGUUCCACAAUUUUAGUGACAAAAAAAUAUAAGGCCAUCCUGAGCAAUAAGAACAAUGAUGAAGGUCUAGGAUGUGGCUCAGGGUCAGAGCAGUGACUAGCACAUUCAAGGCCCUGGGUCUAACCCCAAACACACACAUACCACACACACACACACACACACACACACACACACCCAGAGAGAGAGAGAGAGAGAAUAAUGUUGACAUCAUCACAUUUUUAAUUGGUCCUAGUCUCAAAUCACAUUGAGAGGUAUAGUAACAUAAAUUUGUAUUAAUAUCAAAACAAAUACUAGAUCAAUUGAGUAGACUAGAAGACACAGAAACAAACCCACACAGAUCUGUUCAUUAACAAAGACAUUGAAAGCAAAUAGUGGAGCAAACACAGCCUGCUUAAGAAAUGGUGGUUGGAAAGCUGAAUAUUUCCAUUAG
rnacentral:lncRNA from 1 species